UACGGAGGGGGCUAGCGUUGUUCGGAAUUAUUGGGCGUAAAGCGCGUGUAGGCGGCUUUGCAAGUCGGGUGUGAAAGCCCUCGGCUCAACCGAGGAAGUGCGCCCGAAACUGCAGAGCUUGAGUACCGGAGAGGAUGGCGGAAUUCCCCAAGUAGAGGUGAAAUUCGUAGAUAUGGGGAGGAACACCGGUGGCGAAGGCGGGUCUCUGGGCAGUAACUGACGCUG
rnacentral:rRNA from 1 species